AUGAAGAAAUUCAAAUCUAAGAGCACAAUGUUUAACAUUACAUGUUGGAGCAAAGCCCAGCUAUGCUAUAUGAAUCGUGAAAUUAUCUUUCUCCUUUCUACUUUGGGAAUAAGAGAUGAGAUAUUUCUGUUGAUGCAACAAGAUGCCAUGCAUGAAUUAGCUGAAAUGUUGACGACCAGACAAGCUGCUCUCUCUAUUAUGGGGAAAAUUGUUAGUGCCGAAAUGAAGACAACAUCCAAAAUGUUAUUGCGAGGUUAUGAACCAAGUUUAGAGCCUUACCUGUUGAUGAUUCAUAAGGCCCAUCAAGAUAAUAUCUAA
rnacentral:rRNA from 1 species